CCCUAGUAACGGCGAGUGAAGCGGCAACAGCUCAAAUUUGAAAUCUGGCGUCUUUGGCGUCCGAGUUGUAAUUUGCAGAGGGCGCUUUGGCAUUGGCAGCGGUCCAAGUUCCUUGGAACAGGACGUCACAGAGGGUGAGAAUCCCGUACGUGGUCGCUAGCCUUUACCGUGUAAAGCCCCUUCGACGAGUCGAGUUGUUUGGGAAUGCAGCUCUAAAUGGGAGGUAAAUUUCUUCUAAAGCUAAAUACUGGCCAGAGACCGAUAGCGCACAAGUAGAGUGAUCGAAAGAUGAAAAGCACUUUGGAAAGAGAGUUAAAAAGCACGUGAAAUUGUUGAAAGGGAAGCGCUUGCAGCCAGACUUGCCUGUAGUUGCUCAUCCGGGUUUUUACCCGGUGCACUCUUCUACGGGCAGGCCAGCAUCAGUUUGGGCGGUUGGAUAAAGGUCUCUGUCACGUACCUCCUCUCGGGGAGAUCUUAUAGGGGAGACGACAUGCAACCAGCCUGGACUGAGGUCCGCGCAUCUGCUAGGAUGCUGGCGUAAUGGCUGUAAGCGGCCCGUCUUGAAACACGGACCAAGGAGUCUAACAUCUAUGCGAGUGUUUGGGUGUCAAGCCCGAACGCGUAAUGAAAGUGAACGGAGGUGGGAACCUUUCGGGGUGCACCAUCGACCGAUCCUGAUGUCUUCGGAUGGAUUUGAGUAAGAGCAUAGCUGUUGGGACCCGAAAGAUGGUGAACUAUGCUUGAAUAGGGUGAAGCCAGAGGAAACUCUGGUGGAGGCUCGCAGCGGUUCUGACGUGCAAAUCGAUCGUCAAAUUUGGGCAUA
rnacentral:rRNA from 1 species